GUUUCUGUGGUGUAGUGGUUAUCACAUCCGCCUAACACGCGGAAGGUCGCAGGUUCGAGCCCUGCCAGAAACA
rnacentral:tRNA from 1 species